rnacentral:misc_RNA from 1 species
GAUGAAGAACGUAGCGAAAUGCGAUAAGUAGUGUGAAUUGCAGAAUUCAGUGAAUCAUCGAAUCUUUGAACGCACAUUGCGCCCUAUGGUAUUCCGUAGGGCAUGCCUGUUCGAGCGUCAUUCAAACCUUCAAGCUCUGCUUGGUGUUGGGCGUCUGUCCUGCCUCACGGCGCGGACUCGCCCAAAUCUAUUGGCGGCCGGCACGUUGGCUUCGAGCGCAGCAGAAACGCGAACUCGAGACCGGCGGAUCGGCUCCCAGAAGCUACCCCCAUGAAUUUGACCUCGGAUCAGGUAGGGAUACCCGCUGAACUUAAGCAUAUCAAUAAGCGGAGGA